ensembl:rRNA 5S_rRNA 5S ribosomal RNA
UUCUGGAGCUGUACCACUUUGCAAGGCAAUCCCUUCAGAUCUCACAAGCUAAGCAGGAUCAAGUCAUGUCAAUGCUUGGAUAGGAGACCUCUUGAGAAAACACAAGGUACUGCAGACA